rnacentral:rRNA from 1 species
GGUAUGCUUCUUCGGAAGUAGAGACCGGCGCACGGGUGCGUAACGCGUAUGCAAUCUACCUUUUACAGAGGGAUAGCCCAGAGAAAUUUGGAUUAAUACCUCAUAGCAUAGCAACUUCGCAUGAAGUCACUAUUAAAGUCACAACGGUAAAAGAUGAGCAUGCGUCCCAUUAGCUAGUUGGUAAGGUAACGGCUUACCAAGGCUACGAUGGGUAGGGGUCCUGAGAGGGAGAUCCCCCACACUGGUACUGAGACACGGACCAGACUCCUACGGGAGGCAGCAGUGAGGAAUAUUGGACAAUGGGCGCAAGCCUGAUCCAGCCAUGCCGCGUGCAGGAUGACGGUCCUAUGGAUUGUAAACUGCUUUUAUACAGGAAGAAACCCUGGUUCGUGAACCAGCUUGACGGUACUGUAAGAAUAAGGAUCGGCUAACUCCGUGCCAGCAGCCGCGGUAAUACGGAGGAUCCAAGCGUUAUCCGGAAUCAUUGGGUUUAAAGGGUCCGUAGGCGGUUUAGUAAGUCAGUGGUGAAAGCCCAUCGCUCAACGGUGGAACGGCCAUUGAUACUGCUAAACUUGAAUUAUUAGGAAGUAACUAGAAUAUGUAGUGUAGCGGUGAAAUGCUUAGAGAUUACAUGGAAUACCAAUUGCGAAGGCAGGUUACUACUAAUUGAUUGACGCUGAUGGACGAAAGCGUGGGUAGCGAACAGGAUUAGAUACCCUGGUAGUCCACGCCGUAAACGAUGGAUACUAGCUGUUGGGAGCAAUCUCAGUGGCUAAGCGAAAGUGAUAAGUAUCCCACCUGGGGAGUACGUUCGCAAGAAUGAAACUCAAAGGAAUUGACGGGGGCCCGCACAAGCGGUGGAGCAUGUGGUUUAAUUCGAUGAUACGCGAGGAACCUUACCAAGGCUUAAAUGUAGUUUGACCGAUUUGGAAACAGAUUUUUCGCAAGACAAAUUACAAGGUGCUGCAUGGUUGUCGUCAGCUCGUGCCGUGAGGUGUCAGGUUAAGUCCUAUAACGAGCGCAACCCCUGUUGUUAGUUGCCAGCGAGUCAUGUCGGGAACUCUAACAAGACUGCCAGUGCAAACUGUGAGGAAGGUGGGGAUGACGUCAAAUCAUCACGGCCCUUACGCCUUGGGC